rnacentral:tRNA from 1 species
GAAGGUAUAGCUUAGUGGUAGAGUGUGUGCUUAGUAUACACAAGGUCCUGGGUUCAUCCCCAGUACCCCCA